GACCGAUAGUGAACCAGUACCGUGAGGGAAAGUGAAAAGUACUUCGAAUAGAAGGUGAAAUAGAUCCGAAACCAUACGCUUAAAAAGCUGUCGGAGCCCUCUUAAUUUUAUUAGGAGUAGGGUGACGACGUGCCUUUUGCAUAAUGAACCUACGAGUUAAUUUUUCCGGCAAGGUUAAGUAGUUCAGCUAUGGAGCCGUAGCGAAAGCGAGUCUGAAUAGGGCAUUUAGUCGGAAGAAUUAGACGCGAAACCGAGUGAUCUACCCAUGAGCAGGUUGAAGCUGUGGUAACACAUAGUGGAGGACCGAACCGGUUGACGUUGAAAAGUCUUCGGAUGACUUGUGGGUAGGGGUGAAAGGCUAAUCAAACUCGGAGAUAGCUCGUACUCCCCGAAAUGCAUUUAGGUGCAGCAUCGUGUUAAAUAUGACAGAGGUAGAGCUACUGAUUGGAUGAAGGGGUUUCAUCACCUACUAAUUCCUGAUAAACUCCGAAUGCUGUUAUUAUGUUUCACGGUAGUGAGGGCAUGGGUGCUAAGAUCCAUGUCCAAGAGGGAAACAACCCAGACCAUCAGUUAAGGUCCCUAAGUAUAUAUUAAUUGUAUAAACAAUUUUAAUUACAGACAGCUAGGAUGUUGGCUUAGAAGCAG
rnacentral:rRNA from 1 species